rnacentral:rRNA from 1 species
UACGGGGGGGACAGGCGUUGUUCGGAAUUACUGGGCGUAAAGGGCUCGUAGGCGGCCAACUAAGUCAGACGUGAAAUCCCUCGGCUUAACCGGGGAACUGCGUCUGAUACUGGAUGGCUUGAGUUCGGGAGAGGGAUGCGGAAUUCCAGGUGUAGCGGUGAAAUGCGCAGAUAUCAGGAGGAACACCGGUGGCGAAGGCGGAUCUCUGGGCCAUUACUGACGCUGAGGAGCGAAAGCGUGGGUAGCAAACAGG